CCUGCCCCGUGAUCAUCAAUCUAUCCUCUCCGAAUCUGAUAGUCCUCUGCUGAUUUCUUCCAAGAAACAACUCUAUGUCAGCCUCUGUGGUAAUCCUAUCCUCAUUGAGGAUGGUAAAAAGAGCUUUUCAUUGGAGAAAAGGAGCGAGAAGAAAUGAUAUAUGCUCUCAGCAACGGAUCUCAGAAUUGCACGGGGUGACGCUCCUGAAUAUUUGGGAUGGGCUUCUGAUCCUGGCUCAAGGUUUUCCGAAGUGGCUCACUUUUUUUGUGUAUGCUGGCUUGAAAUCAGUAGCAAAAUCAAUACAAGCAUGCUAGCUAUCACCAGCAACAUUGUGUACAGGACACCUUGUCUUCAAGCUCUCCGUAGAAGCGCUUGGUAACCAGCCAA